rnacentral:rRNA from 1 species
AUGGACGUGGUCGCGCCCGCGCCCGCGCCCUUGUCCUCUUCUAUAAACCGCGCGUCGACUUCGCCGCCCGGCUCGCUGGCUGGAGCUGUGGAUGUAGCUGCGGCCUGUGUGUGGGACAUGGACGGACGCGACCACCGUAGGAGGCUGUCGGCGUCGGGGUCCGGCCGGCGGGAGCGGCUCGGGCCGGCGCCCAGCCCCGCGUGGUCGCAGCAGCUCUCCGUCGGCAGCGGCCGGGCCAAGUCGCUGUUCCGGUCCAUCGGCGUCUGGUUCAGCUCCCUCUCCACCCCCUCGUCUCCCACCUCCGCCAAGAAGAAGAGGUCCAAGCAGACGCCGACGCCGGCGCCGGCGCAUGACGACGCGAUCAAGAAGCCGCCUUCGUUCGGCUACGGCACCGGGCGGGCGUUGAUGCUCCGGGGAGGAGCGGGAGGAGGAGGAGGGCUGUACGGCGGCGGGAGGCGGAGGAGCCUAUCGCAGACGACGCAGCAGCAGUACCAGUUCCAGAGCUCGGUGUUCACCAUGGAGGAGAUCCUCAAGGCCACCAGCAACUUCUCGCCGGCGCUCAAGAUCGGGCAGGGCGGCUUCGGCGCCGUGUACAAGGGCGUGCUCCCGGACGGCACGGUGGUGGCGGUGAAGCGCGCCAAGCAGCGGAUGCAGAACCCGCACGUGGACGUGGAGUUCCGGAGCGAGGUCAAGAUCAUGGCGCGCAUCGAGCACCAGAGCCUCGUGCGCUUCUACGGCUACCUGGAGCAGGGCGAGGAGCGGGUGGUGGUCAUCGAGCACGUCCCCAACGGCACCCUCCGCGAGCACCUCGACCGCCGCCACGGCCGCUUCCUCGAGCUCGCCGCCCGCCUCGACGUCGCCAUCGACGUCGCGCACGCCGUCACGUACCUGCACAUGUACUCCGACCACCCCAUCAUCCACCGCGACAUCAAGUCGUCCAACAUCCUGCUCACCGCCUCGCUGCGCGCCAAGGUGGCCGACUUCGGCUUCGCGCGCCUCGGCGCCGGCGGCCUCGGGCACGGCGAGGGCGGCGGCGGGGGAGCGAGGCACGUGUCGACGCAGGUCAAGGGCACCGCGGGGUACCUCGACCCGGAGUACCUCAAGACGUGCCAGCUCACGGACCGGAGCGACGUCUACUCCUUCGGCGUCCUCCUCGUCGAGAUGGUGUCCGGGCGCCGCCCCAUCGAGCCCAAGCGGGAGAUGAAGGAGCGGCUGACGGCGCGGUGGGCGAUGCGGAAGCUCGUCGAGGGGAAGGCGGCAGAGGAGGUGCUGGACCCGUGCCUGCUGCGGACCGGCGCGGCGGCCACGGCCGUGGAGGCCGUGCUGGAGCUGGCGUUCCGGUGCAUGGGGCCCGUCCGCGACGAGAGGCCCAGCAUGGACGACUGCUGCCGCUCGCUCUGGGCCGUCAGGAAGACGUACAGGGACACGGUGUCCGCCAUGGCCGCCGCCGCCGACGCCUUCUCCGACCGGGCCAGCUCCUCCAGCGCCAGCACCGGCACCAGCACCACCGGCGAUUUCUGCCGGAUGUAG